rnacentral:rRNA from 1 species
AUUGAACGCUGGCGGAAUGCUUUACACAUGCAAGUCGAACGGCAGCACGGACUUCGGUCUGGUGGCGAGUGGCGAACGGGUGAGUAAUGUAUCGGAACGUGCCCAGUCGUGGGGGAUAACGUAGUGAAAAUUACGCUAAUACCGCAUACGAUCUAUGGAUGAAAGCGGGGGAUCGCAAGCCCUCGCGCGAUUGGAGCGGCCGAUAUCAGAUGAGGUAGUUGGUGGGGUAAAGGCCACCCAAGCCAACGAUCUGUAGCUGGUCUGAGAGGACGACCAGCCACACUGGAACUGAGACACGGUCCAGACUCCUACGGGAGGCAGCAGUGGGGAAUUUUGGACAAUGGGCGAAAGCCUGAUCCAGCCAUUCCGCGUGCAGGAUGAAGGCCCUCGGGUUGUAAACUGCUUUUGUACAGAACGAAAAGGUUUCUACUAAUACUAGGAGCUCAUGACGGUACUGUAAGAAUAAGCACCGGCUAACUACGUGCCAGCCGCCGCUGUAA